CUCAGAUUUAUUAUGCCUUGUACCCCCUAACACACAAGUAUUCCUUAUGAAUGAAAACUGAUUCAGAGGAAAACACAAAAAUGUUUCUUAAUUUACUCUAUCACCUAUGAGGAAGGACACACAUAUUAAGCUUUUAUUUUUAAAGCAACGUUAUCAAAGUUCUUGAAGAAAAUAUUUAAAGCAUCCUUCAAAGGCAAAUAACCAUAGUUCUAAUAGAACCCUACAAAAUAAAUUUUAAAAAAUGCAUUACAUAGCCUUCAUUUAUGUCAAAGUUCUGAUACUUUGGAUCUGAAAAACUAAACAAUAUUAUCACUACAAUGAACAAAAAUUCAAUUUAAGCACUGUAUACUUCUUUCUACUGCAAAGGUCUCUGAAGAGACUUAAGACACCAUGUUGCUUUAAGAUCUUUAAAAAAAAGAUAUUACAAUUGUAGAACACAAAUGCACCUAAAACUAAAUAUAUUAGAACACAUGAAAGAAAAAUUUGUAAACUACUAGCUAGAAUCAUCUUUAAAAGACUAAACGAUCCUCAAACACCAUAGUUAUAUUAUUUUCGAGGGGAGAAUUAUUGCUUUUCAUUGAACAAAAAAAUUGCUUGUUUUGGACUAUAAGCUCCAAAAAUCUCUUCUUCCAGCUGUACAUUUCAGGAUGAAGGAUAACCCCUUACCUACAAGCAAUCUCCAUGAUUAAAGGGUUAUUUCCAAACACUUCUGUUUAUUAACCCCUCCUCUCCUGUGCUGAAAAUGCAGCAGACAUAUAAAGCACACAUUUUUAAUUAACAAACAUUUGGAAAGCGAAGGCGGGUUUUGUUAGUUAAUGGCAAUUAUUAAUCCUCAACAUAAACAGGAAAUAGUGCUAAGUGGCAGGCUCCAAACCAAAUACUAAUGGGCCUCAGGAAAUCCAAAGUACUUUUUCUCCUUGCAUGCAGGUUUCCAUAAUGCUGUUGUACCUGAUGCUUAUAAAACGUGUCAGUCUCCACUAGCUGAACAUGUGCUCACAGAGCGGGAGGGGGUGGGAGAGCUUUCCUCUUAGCCCUCGCCCAGGCAACUUCUCCAGGCCAUUCCUUUUGUCCAAUUUUACUUCCAUGAAUAACCAUGCUGGGCAUGGCACAAAACCAAGAUUUUAGCAUCACAUACACCUUUCUGCUUUUGAGCAAAAAAUUUAUUCAACUUUUACACUUCCUAAUUGGUAAUGGCCUUCUCCACCAUAUACUGACAAUUUCACAGGCUCAUUUGCUCUUAAUCCGGAGAAAACAAUUCUAGCCACUGCUAGGUGGUUCACGACGGCCAACUCAAAGAGAAAGCAGCUUCAGGAACAUCAAGUUAAAAAACAGAUGAGCCAGCCAGUUUCAGCGGUAAAGAAUUCUGUGCACGUUGCCCCUCCCCCUUUUCAAAAAUUGAAGACAAAGGGCAUUUAUUUAAAUAUGGUAAACUCAGAAAAUUCCUAGAAAGCGUGUAGAGUUGACACACAUUCAGCUGACGCCAUCAUUUCAGGGUCAGGGCCUGCCAAAUCUGGCGGAGAGGAACUUAGCACUCCCCAAGAAGAUGGCAAGUAACAGGCUCCUCUAAGAACUGACUCGUUUCAAAGCUAAGGUAGAUAGUGUAGUUUCUACUCAGGUAGGGCACUCCCAAUGUCAAGCUUCGGGCAUAAUAAUGACAAAAGUCAAGAUUUAGGGUUCAGUUCCAGCUGAUUUUAUUUCCUUCUCAAAAAAAGUUAUUUACAGAAGGUAUAUAUCAACAAUCUGACAGGCAGUGAACUUGACAUGAUUAGCUGGCAUGAUUUUUUUUUUUUCCUCCCCCAAACAUUGUUUUUGUGGCCUUCAAUUUUAAGACAAAUAUUCUACACGGCAUAUUGCACAGGAUGGAUGGCAAAAAAAAGUUUAAAAACAAAAACCCUUAACGGAACUGCCUUAAAAGGCAGACGUCCUAGUGCCUGUCAUGUUAUAUUAAACAUACAUACACACAAUCUUUUUGCUUAUUAUAAUACAGACUUAAAUGUACAAAGAUGUUUUCCACUUUUUUCAAUCUUUAAACACAACAGCUAUAAACCUGAACACAUAUGCUAUCGUCAUGCCAUAAGACUAAAACAAUUAUAUUUAGCGACAAGUAGAAAGGAUUAAAUAGUCAAAUACAAGAAUGAAAAACGCAGUACAUAGUGUCGCGAACUCAAAUCGGCAUUUAGAUAGAUCCAGUGGUUUAAACGGCACGUUUUUGCUUAUAAAAAAAGUGCAAAAAAGAUGUGGUUUACAAAUUAAAGCUACAGGAUCCCUUUUUGCUGUAAAUGCACCAGUUUUAAAGCCUCUGGACAGGAUAGUACUUUGUUUAAAAAAUUUGUUUGUCUUAAAAGCAUACAGUGUUUGGCUAAUUCCCUCCCCUGUUUAUAAGACUGGGGUCGAAGGGUGGACACUGGUGGCAGAUUAAGGGAUACUGUCACUUUAAGAAGCCUGCAGAUUGAAGUGUAAACAUGGAGAAAUUAGGGGCUGAUUUUUUAAACUGUGAGAUAUUAACCAGCCGCCCUAUUAUAAAAAUCAGGAAAUCCAAACAGCGAUUUACACCGAUUAACACCCCCUUUAUAUAUUUUUUACAAAAAUACACUGAGAAAAUAAUCAAACGUUUUCAUCUCUCUUGUCUUUUUUUGUUUUUAAAAGUGUCAAAAGUCUACAUUUAAAUAUAAAAAAUUAAAAGUUAAAACUCUAGCCCUUCAGUGAAGGAGACGUAAAAUGGCGUGGGUAACAACAACUACCAAAAAAAAAAAAGAAAAGAAAAGAAAGAUAAAGAAGAUAACAGAAGGAAGGAAGAAAGGAAGGAAGCAGAAAAAAAGAAAAAAAAAAAGCAAAAGAAAGGAAAGAAAAACAGGGACAAAGUAAGAAAAAAAAUGUUUGGCCAGUAUAAAUACGUCCACAUAUAAAAUGGCAUCUGAUUACAUUUACAAGGAAAAAAAAUACGAGGAUGGAGCAUCGGUGAGGGGAAAAAAACACGUCUUCUCAUUUACACCUAUAAGGAAUAAACACAUACACACUGAGAAAAAAUUUGGUCCUGAAUUGUUUUUUAAAGUCCAGCACAGAUUUGAGUUGCGUUUGAAUCCCUUAAAGAGUUAAGAAUGAAAAAAAGCUGGUGAUAAUUUUGUUUGUAGGAAUCAAACAUAGCGCCAUCUAUCUGCUUUUUAUAUUAUCCUACACUAUUUUAAAAACUGCUCAACAGUCUUAUACAGAAAUCUUUAAAAGAUAGACAGGAUAACAUGCUAUAUUAACCCCACCAGUGAAAUAAUCCAACACCAUCACGAUUCCGAUUAAGAGAAGAAAAAAAUCUUUUUUUUUUUCCCCGAAACCACUCGCCCUCCACUGCCCCGGUACCACAUCAAAGUCUCCUCUCCUCCACGCCUGCGGGCCUGUGAAGUCGCACCUCACUGAUUUCAUAUCUGCAGGAGGUGGAGGCCCCGGAGUCGCCGCCACCUUCUCCCGAACGUGCAAAUCCAUUUCAGUUUUAUUAGGAGCCCCUUCCAGGCCAGUUCGUGUCCUUCUCUCCCCCGCCCCUCGCCCUCGCUGGUGUGGCUUCCAACUAGGUUCUCAGGUCAUUUCCUAGCGCCGGUCACUCAACAUCUCCUCCUCCGGCUGCAGGAGCCAGAAGAAAAAAAAAAAAAAGGGAAGAAAAAGUAAAAGGAAAAAAAAAACCCCAAAUCGGGAAUUCACCAGCGUGGAGUCUCUCAGUCCCGGCGCUCGAACCUGCACGACCCCCAAACCUCUGCCGUCGGUCACACUCCACUCCCCGGAGCCUUCAGUCUUCUUCGGGGGAAAAAAAAGCGGGGGAGGACGGGGGUGCUGAGAACAAAAUCCCCAGGGGCGCGUUGGAUUUUUUUUUUUCUUCCUUCCUUCUCUCGUGACCAAGACAAGAAAUAAAACAAAACAAAAACACCAAGGGGGCGAUGAGAGAGGAACGAGAUUCCUUCAGUCUCUAGAAAAUUACCAGCUCGGCUUCUUGCUGGGGGUGCAGACAAGUCCGGAAGCUCGUUGGAAAACGGGGGUGGGGGGGGGCUCUCUUCAAGCAAAGGGGAGGAAACUCGAAGUCGCUUUUUCGCCAUCAACAACACCACCAGUAACAACAAUGAAAGGUCGCCCCCGUCUACCGCUGCCUCCCCCGCGUCCCCGCGGCCGGGGAGGUGGGGGGAUGGGAGCGCGGAUGCAAACGCGCCGCUGCGCUCCUCUCCGACGCCCGGGAUGCGGCCCAAGCCGGCUCUGCUCACUUUUUUUUUUUUCUUUUCUUUUUUUUUUUCUUUUUCCCUUUUCUCUUUCCACUCUCUCUCUGUCCACUUUUUUGUUUUUCCUCUCUUGCCCCCACCCCCUGGCCCUCUUCUCCCAGCCCGCGCGCCCAUCAGUAGGUGAAGACCAGAUUGGAGAUGCUGGACUCGAGCCAGUCUCCCGAGAUCAUCUCGCUCACCUCGGGCGUGCAGUAGUCCGGGAACUCGAAGUGCGAGCCGGAGCCGGGCUCGAAGUUAAAAUCCAGGUCCCGGUCCAGCGCCGACGACGAGCUGAAACUGCCCAGGGACAUGCUCUCAAAGUUUGAGCUGGGGUUCAGGUCGAGCAGGUCGUCUUCGAACUCAUCAUCGGAGGACGAGGAGCCCGAGGAGGAGGACGAGGACGACGAGUGGGACGAGGCCGAGGAGGACGCGUGCGAGGGCGCGCUGGACGGGGCGGGCGAGGCGGCGCGCAGGCUGGCGUAGCUGCGGUGAUCGGCGGCGAGCGGCCGGCGGCCGGCGACGAGGCGGCGCUGCUGCGGCCGCUCAGGCUCGGCCCGUCCGGCGAGCAGCCCGCGCCGCCGUCCUCGUACAAGCCCAGGGGGUCGCUGGGGUCAGCGCUCGCGCUCACGCCGCCGACGGGCGACGACGAUGCGCCCAGGCCGCCGAACAGGUAGACGCGCUUCACCUUCUUCUCGGCCAGGUGCUUGCCCGGGGCGGCGAGGGCGGCGGAGGCCGCGGCCGCGGUGGAGGCCGAGGCCGAGGCGCCGGGAGUCCGCGCCUUGUACAGCGCGUGGUGGUCGGCGGCGGCGGCGCCCAGGGGCAGCAGGGCGGCGGCCCCCGCCUGCUCGGCCGCGAAGGACGAGGAGGCGGCGCCGGCCGCCGCUUUACCGCCGCCGCCGCCCGCCAGGAUGAGCUUGGCGUGCGGUUUGCUGAGCCCGCCGCCCGCGCCGCCCGCCGCCUUGGAGCCGCAGCUCUUUUUCUGCGCCGGUUUGGAGUUGGCGCCGCCGCCGCUCGCGCCGCCGCCUCCUCCCCCCGCGUUGCUGCUCCCGCCGCCGCCGCCGCCCCCGUGGCCGCCCCCGCCGCUGCCACCGACCUUGUCGCCCUUCUCCCCUGGCUUGGGGGCGGCGGCCGAGGAGCUGGCGUUGGCGUUGCCGGACUUCACCUUCUUCCUGGGCCGGUACUUGUAGUCGGGGUAGUCAGCCAUGUGCUUGAGGCGCAGCCGCUCCGCCUCCCGAAUGAAAGGGAUCUUGUCGCUGUCUUUGAGCAGCUUCCAGCGUUUGCCCAGCCGCUUGGAGAUCUCGGCGUUGUGCAUGUCGGGCGACUGCUCCAUGAUCUUGCGCCGCUCGAUCUGCGACCACACCAUGAAGGCGUUCAUGGGCCGCUUGAUGUGCCCGCUCGGCGUCUUGCACCAGCUCGGGUCGUCGGCCUUGCCGCCCGUGGAGGCGGUGGAGCCGGGCGUGGGGGAGGAGGCGAUGCCCAGCUCGAGGCCGGCGCCCGAGUCCGAGCUCUCGCCGGCCAGCAGCGCUUCCGUGUUCUCGGCGUUGUUGGUUUGCUGCACCAUGGCCCCGGCUCGGCGGGCGCCCACGCGCGCUCACACCCUCGCGGCGGCCGCGGCGCGAUCGCCGGGCCCUCCGGGUUCCCCGGGCCAAGCACACGCCGGGCGGGAGGACGCGCGCGGCGGCCGAGCGGGCCCCUCCACUCCUCGCCGGGGCGGAGGCGGGCGAGGAGAGAAAAGUCUCCAAAAGAUGCGGGCAAGGCGUACUCCGCCUCUUGCAGAGGAGUUAUAGUUCCCAGGCUGGAGAGUCUCUCCCUCCCUCUCGCUCGCUCUCUUUCUCUCUCUCUCUCUCUCUCUCACCGUUCCGUAGUUUGCUCUGUCUCUCGGCUGAGUCUGGUCACCGUGUUGAAGUGGAGAGGAGUUUCUUGAAUGCUGCUUGCUGAGCUUCCAAAGCAAGUUUCUCGCCGCCUCCCAGUUUAGGACAACCAACCGCCGCCUCCUGUUCACUCAUCGGAAGCUCCCAGACACCGGGGAAGCCAAGGCUAGCUCCCGUUUGGAUCUAGUAACUGAAGCUGGGAGAUGAUCCGUUACCAUGGCCGUAUCUUGCUGAAGCCGGAACGAGUCACAACGCGGUUUCUCCGCCAGCCACUCUCGAUUUUGGAGAUCGGCUGCAGAGAGACGGCGCGCGGUCCUUCAGGACUAGCAGAGGCCACCCCUUCUAAAAAAAUGGUCUCCCUCGGCCAGAAUGCCUCGCCGAGCGCCGCGGCUCGGGAGCGCAGGCACGGCGCCCUUUCUGCCCUGAGCCUGCCCAGGAUUAAAGGCGCUCAGCCUCGUUCCGCCGCGGCGGUCGAGCCUCGCCUUUCGAUUACAG
rnacentral:lncRNA from 1 species